rnacentral:misc_RNA from 1 species
AAGUCGUAACAAGGUUUCCGUAGGUGAACCUGCGGAAGGAUCAUUACCGAGAGGGGUUUUCGGACCUCGGGGGCUUCGGCCCCCUUCUCUUCACCCUAUGUCUAUAUACCUUUGUUGCUUUGGCGGGACCAGGGGUUCGCCCCUCGGCGGCUUCAGGCUUCCAGCCCGGCCGCCCCGCGCCCGUCAGAGACCCACCAAAACCCUUUUGAACAGUGUCGUCCGAGUAAAAACACAAUAGUCAAAAACUUUCAACAACGGAUCUCUUGGUUCUG